UAGGGAAUCUUCCACAAUGGGCGCAAGCCUGAUGGAGCAACACCGCGUGAGUGAAGAAGGGUUUCGGCUCGUAAAGCUCUGUUGUUAGAGAAGAACAUGCAGGAGAGUAACUGUUCUUGUAUUGACGGUAUCUAACCAGAAAGCCACGGCUAACUACGCGCCAG
rnacentral:rRNA from 1 species